UACAGAGGUCUCAAGCGUUGUUCGGAUUUAUUGGGCGUAAAGAGCUCGUAGGUGGUUCGGUAAGUCGGAUGUGAAAUCUCCAGGCUCAACCUGGGGACGCCACCCGAUACUGCUGUGGCUAGAGUCCAGUAGGGGAGUGUGGAAUUCCCGGUGUAGCGGUGAAAUGCGCAGAUAUCGGGAGGAACACCAGCGGCGAAGGCGGCACUCUGGGCUGGUACUGACGCUGAGGAGCGAAAGCGUGGGUAGCAAACAGG
rnacentral:rRNA from 1 species